GUCUUUAAAUGUUAAAUGAAUUAUGUCUGAAUAUUCUAAGUUCCACAAAUGUCAAUGAAUGACUUAUGAUGGACCUAUACUUAUUCCUUAAGCCAAGUCAUAUUUUAGGGCUUUAACGUCAUGAUUUAAAAUCACUUGGAAUGAGAUUAGAUGAAAAAAUCAUCCUCAUUAAUCAUGUCAUGAUUUCUCUUGAAUUUCGGUUAUAAUGGAUGAAACUUAUAAGUCUCGUUUUCCUUUUGUCAAAUUCUCAUUUGCAUGAUGACAAAGGUUGUGAAAGUAUAUUUAGAACAAAUAAGAUGAGAGUUUAAGGUAAGUGUGACUUUAUGUUGACUAUACAAACCUCACAACCUUCAUAACAUAGCUUAAUUAUGAUACUAUAUUCUGAUUAAUCCUUAGAAUAUAUAAGGUAUCGAAAAACUUUGUUGGAAGACUGCUUAUUACGGUUUUUAUAGCCUUAACAUUUAAUUUUGUCACUAACUCUCAUGUUAAUUGUUUGUUGAGUUCUGGUAAGGAAACGCUUAGAACUAGAGUCAACAAAUCAUGUGUUAAUUGGAAUAUUAAAAGUAUCAGACUUAAAUAUCAUUAGUAAGUGACUACCUAAUUAACUUAUCCAACUGUUCUUUUGAAUAAUGGAUAGUCUCGUUGCUUAUGCCUAGUCUAAUGGCAUAAUUAUGCAGUGAGAUUUUCCCUUGAAGAAUCUUAGAGUUGGAAUUCUGUAUUUGUAUUUUGACUAUGGACCUUAGGACAAUCCUCUAUUAAUGUUUCCGUGGUUUUAAGGUGAAUAACAUCGUAUUUUCCAGUUUCAAACAUUUAUUUCUUUGUACAUAUGUUGCUUACCAACACACUCAUUUUCUUUGGUACUUUUGAGUGUUAUUGUUGAUUUAUAAGGCAUCAAAUUGUACAAGUGAAAAUUUUAGUACGUAAUGCACCAGAAAAUGUACUUCCAUGCGUAAGCCCUUAAUUUUAUGGGUUAUGGUACUGUACAUUAUGAUGUAUUCAUGAUACAUCAGAAGCUCAUUCAAGUUAAGCUAUUUUGAUUUUGUGAAAAAUAAUCUAAUUCUGAUUAAGUAAUUAAGUAUUUACAAAACCAAGUAUUUAAUAGAAAACCACCUGUUAGUGCGGAUCGAGAUCUCGACUCAACUUUUAGUUCACAUUAACAGCUUAAUAAAGUAAUGAAGUUUCAAAUGAGAUCUCGACUUAGUUAUGAGAUCUCGACUCAACUUAUGAGAUCUCGACUCAACUUAUGAGAUCUCGACUCAACUUAUGAGUUCGCGAGUGAGAUCUCGAGUAAGGUUUCAGCUCAUUAUGAAUCAUUAUGAGGUUUCGAGUCAUUAAGGUUUCGAGUUGCAACCACUUGGUAGCGAGUCACUAAUGUCAGUCGAAACCUCGAGGUUUCGAGUAAUGAAUAUUUAUGAGAUUUCGACUUCAUAAUGAGAUUUCGAGUCACAACCUCCUGUUGCGAGUCGGAAGCUUGGUCUCGAGUCAUGAAGACUGAAACCUUUAUGAUUUCGAGUCGGAAUCUUGGUCUCUAGUCAUGAAGACUGAAACCUUUAUGAUUUCGAGUCACAAUCUUAUGGUUUCGAGUCGGAAUCUAAUGGUUUCGAGUCGUUAAGGUUAGUCUCGAAACCUACUGUUAACAGCUGUUAGUGUUAUAAGUUUGAAAUUCGAAUUUUAAGGGAAUUGGUAUAGCUUGUUUCCUGUUUUAAAAGAUAUUUUAUAUUUAUCCAUUGAUUUCGAAAAUUAUAUCUAAUAACAUUAACAGAUUUUCAAAAUCUUAAUGGAUAAAAAUUAAUCAAAUACAGGAAAAACACCUUCUAAUCCUUAAUUCAUUCCAAAAUAAGGGAGUUUAUUCGAAUUUCACUAAGAACAUGAAGAACCCUAAUAUUAAUAAAAUCAAAUUCUGGAACCCGAAACCUGAAUAUUAAGGUUUUAAAACAGAUUUCGGAACAUUAAGGUUAUUAUUUGAUUUCGAGACAAUUAUAAAACAUUCUUUUUCCUUAAACAGCGAUUUCUCGAAACAGGCUUUUAAAUUUUAUUAAGUUUUCAAAACUCUAUUUUCCAGAUUUCAAUCCCAGAAUAGUGGAUACGAAAACAGAACUGAUUUAUCAACAUAUGCUCUAAUACCAAAUGUUGAUCAGUUCUGUUUUAGGCAUAAUGGUAAACAUAAAAACAUACCUUUGAUUGUAGGGGAUAGGCCAGCGGAGAAUCCAGAUGGAGACGCAGCAAUAAGGUUUGACAUGAUUUUCAGCUUGAUCUAGUUCCUCCUUAGGGUGCAAUCUAAUGAUAGUGAUGAGAGAACCGAAAAGGGUAAUCGGUUAUGGAGGGAAGGGGGCGAUUUCAUGUGUGAUGUUAUUGUGAUUAGUGUCUAACCCUUUAACCCUCUAAUUAUCUCCUUAUAUAUGCACCCAAGAGGAAACCCUAAUUAGUUAAUAAGGGUAAUAUGGCCCGUCAACAAUUACUAACUAAUUAUUUAAUAGGUUGUUACAUAUUUUGAUCUAUAUAAUGUAAAUGAUUAUAAUGGCUACUAGAUUAAAUACAAUAUAAUAUAUAUUUAAUCUUACAAUAUGUUGAUUGAUAUGCUUGAGUGUGACUUAAUUUGUGAGGAAAGCCUUUUUAAUGGCUUUGUGAAAUCAAUGCCGGCAUCUAUAAAAAGUGAUUGCAAUUUGGAUGAUUUAUUUUGCAAAAUAAUAUAAAAAAUAAUUAACCAAUAGUUUGUUUCUUCUCUUAAUACGGAGGAGGAACAUAAUAAAUUAUAGAUAAGUAACUAGAGAUAGAAAAUGGGUGGGUUAGCGUGUUGGGUAAUGGGUUCGAGUCAAAAUGGAUAAUUUAUAGAGUUCUGGGAAGUCUUUGGUACUAGAGAGCAUUGUUGGGGGAGAUUUUCUUUCUUGGGGAUCUGGUUAGGUGCUUGUUUGAUUUUCCUUGCAACUGUUUUUCCUCUUCUUUUACAUUUUUUACAAUGCUGAAUGCAUGGAUUUUUUAGGGAUUGUUACGAGGAGACUUGUGGUGUUGCAGUUGCACAAGACAGGGCAGGCGACAAUUAUGCAGAAUUUGGAUACAUGUAAACGCAUCUAUUAAGUUGUUAUAAUAUACUAAAUAAUAAUACAUAAUAUAUUUUCACGGGUAACUU
rnacentral:lncRNA from 1 species